CCCUUAGAUGUUCUGGGCCGCACGCGCGCUACACUGAUGCAUGCAACGAGUUCUAUCCUUGGCCGGAAGGCCUGGGUAAUCUGUGAACGUGCAUCGUGAUAGGGAUAGAUUAUUGCAAUUAUUAAUCUUGAACGAGGAAUUCCUAGUAAACGCAAGUCAUCAGCUUGCAUUGAUUACGUCCCUGCCCUUUGUACACACCGCCCGUCGCACCUACCGAUUGAAUGGUCCGGUGAAAUCUUCGGAUCUGAGAGAUGUCUGAUUAAUUUCGGACGCCUUUUGGAAAAGUUGUUUAAACCUUACCAUUUAGAGGAAGGUGAAGUCGUAACA
rnacentral:rRNA from 1 species